CACGUAGGGCGCAAGCGUUGUCCGGAAUUAUUGGGCGUAAAGAGCUCGUAGGUGGCCUGUUGCGUCCGCUGUGAAAACUCAGGGCUUAACCCUGAGCCGGCAGUGGAUACGGGCAGGCUAGAGGUAGGUAGGGGAGAAUGGAAUUCCUGGUGUAGCGGUGAAAUGCGCAGAUAUCAGGAGGAACACCGGUGGCGAAGGCGGGUCUCUGGGCCGUAACUGACGCUGAGGAGCGAAAGCAUGGGGGAGCGAACAGG
rnacentral:rRNA from 1 species